AGUGGCGGACGGGUGAGUAACGCGUGAGAAUCUGCCUUGGGGUCGGGGACAACCACUGGAAACGGUGGCUAAUACCGGAUAAGCCGAUUGGUGAAAGAUUUAUUGCCCGAAGAGGAGCUCGCGUCUGAUUAGCUAGUUGGUGAGGUAAGAGCUCACCAAGGCAGCGAUCAGUAGCUGGUCUGAGAGGACGAUCAGCCACACUGGGACUGAGACACGCCCCAGACUCCUACGGGAGGCAGCAGUGGGGAAUUUUCCGCAAUGGGCGAAAGCCUGACGGAGCAAGACCGCGUGAGGGAGGAAGGCUCUUGGGUUGUAAACCUCUUUUCUCAGGGAAGAAGCUCUGACGGUACCUGAGGAAUCAGCCUCGGCUAACUCCGUGCCAGCAGCCGCGGUAAUACGGAGGAGGCAAGCGUUAUCCGGAAUUAUUGGGCGUAAAGCGUCCGCAGGUGGCGAUUCAAGUCUGCUGUCAAAGCACGGGGCUUAACUCCGUAAAGGCAGUGGAAACUGAAUAGCUAGAGUGCCGUAGGGGUAGAGGGAAUUCCCGGUGUAGCGGUGAAAUGCGUAGAGAUCGGGAAGAACAUCGGUGGCGAAAGCGCUCUACUGGACGGCAACUGACACUCAGGGACGAAAGCUAGGGGAGCGAAUGGGGUUAGAUACCCC
rnacentral:rRNA from 1 species